UUUUAAAGUCUCCUAAAAUGGUAUCAUAUAAAUAUAAACUCACUGUCAGUAUUGAAGGUAACUGAAAUAUCACUUUCAUCCUGUAGCCAAGGAGGUUGGGCUGGAGAUCCUGAAGCAGAACAUGGAGAAGGAACGUUUCCCUGAUCUGACUGGCUAUGAAAAAUUUGGGCUUGGUAAUGUCAAAUACAACAUCUCAAGAAUACGAGUUGCUGCUGUUGAAUUCCCCAGUGCUUCCAUCUCCCUCAUACCCAGGACUGGGAUAAAACUGGUGAUUGGAAAUGCUUCUCUGACAGUUGAUAUGAACUGGAACAUAAGGACCUGGAUGUUCAGAGACAGUGGAAGAAGCACAGUGUACAUUUCCAAGGUGUUUGUUACUGCAAUCUUUUCAACACCCCUGGAUAAUUCAGGCUAUACUUCAAUAUCACUUACCAGCUGCCGGACAACUUCUGGUGAUAUAGACAUCAAGUUGAAUGGAAAAAGUGGGUAAGUGCAAGAGAUCGUAUUCAUGCUGGGACAAAACAAGUGUCAGUGAAUGGCACAAAGACA
rnacentral:lncRNA from 1 species